rnacentral:rRNA from 1 species
AUUGAACGCUGGCGGCAUGCCUUACACAUGCAAGUCGAACGGCAGCAUGAUCUAGCUUGCUAGAUUGAUGGCGAGUGGCGAACGUGUGAGUAAUACAUCGGAACGUGCCCUGUAGUGGGGGAUAACUAGUCGAAAGAUUACCUAAUACCGCAUACGACCUGAGGGUGAAAGUGGGGGACCGCAAGGCCUCAUGCUAUAGGAGCGGCCGAUGUCUGUUUAGCUAGUUGGUGAGGUAAAGGCUCACCAAGGCGACGAUCAGUAGCUGGUCUGAGAGGACGAUCAGCCACACUGGGACUGAGACACGGCCCAGACUCCUACGGGAGGCAGCAGUGGGGAAUUUUGGACAAUGGGCGAAAGCCUGAUCCAGCAAUGCCGCGUGUGUGAAGAAGGCCUUCGGGUUGUAAAUCACUUUUGUCCGGAAAGAAAUGGCUCUGGUUAAUACCUGGGGUCGAUGACGGUACCGGAAGAAUAAGGACCGGCUAACUACGUG